GUCCUCUGCAGACAUGGCUAAGGAUGUCCCUGGACUCUGACUGCGUGCUGCUGUCAUUGAGGGGCUCCAGGACGUCCUGCGUCCUCCAAAGCGAGGACGAGAAGGAUGACCCCCCCUGGAGCGGGAGAGGAGAGUGUCCUGGAGAUGCUGAGCUGCUCCAAGUUCUCCGGGCUGGAGACAUGGCUCUGCAUGCCGUCCUCCUUACUGCUGCCCAGCGGCCCGGACCUCACCCCCACCUCCUCCUCUUCACAUGCAUCCAACCAGCCGACCUCCUCUGCCUCAUCCUCCUCAUCCUCAGCCUCCAACUGCCGUCGCUCCACCUGCAGCGAUCCAGGAGAGACGCUCAGGUCGUGGGACGGCGACUCCUCCCUCCCCCCUCCUGCUCUCCUCCCAGUCUCCUCCACCCCCGCUGGACAGUCCUCCUCCCCCCCCUCCUCCUCCUCCGCCGGGGGGGGGCAUCAGGAAGCGUCGGCGCCUUGCUGCCAGUCCCGGAGGACUCCACUGGAACUCUGCAGAGGGAGCUGUUACUCCAUCAGAGGGAGAGACGAGGGGGGGACAGACAGGAAGACAGAUACCCCCCCUCGUGCUUGCAGCAGUCUCACAGGUUUGGUGCAACGGGACUGGUCACCUGACCCGUCUCCGGUGUCGGGGGAGAACGCAACAGCAGGACGAGGGGCGAGCCCCCCCCCUGGUGCAGGUAGGCGGGGCCACGUGGGGGGCCGACCGGGCUGCCCUGAGACUCCUGAGUCGGCUGGAGAGAGGCAGGAAGAAGGUCCACGGCAUCCAGAGUCUGGGAACCACUGGCAGAUACGACUCCAGGAGGAAUCGUGAUGCUUCAGCCUCAUGUUUGGUCUCCUCGUCUGAGGAGACGCUGACAGCAUAUCAGACAAGAACAACAACAGCGUGAUGUUCAGAACAUUCAGCAGCAUCCGCGGCUUUAAUAACGCUCCACACACACCGAUGGGCCCAAGGCAGCCAUCAGGAAUAAUGGCCUCCGUCUACGCGUUGCCAUGGCGAUCGGGUGGAGGCGAUGAGCUCGGUGGGAGACUCUGAGGACAACUUCUGGUGUUUGUGGAUCCCAGAGCUGCUGGAGUGGAUUCUGAUAACGCGAAGCUCCAUAUAACAAUAAUCACAAAUGAGUCAACCAUUGGAAUAAAAAACUGUUUUAGUUUCAGCUUCCUCCACUCGUGCUUUUUAGAUUCCUACAGAUAUUUGUGUUAAUUUGAUUUAAUAACUUCUCUAAUGACCAGUGGAGGAUGUAUUUAAACAACUUUAACGUGUCAUCAUCACACAAAUCCGACUGAGCUGUAAACUCUGUAACUGCCUUAAUGUUGAUUUAAAACCGUCUUGUGGUUUAUUCAAUUACAAUAAUGGACUCAAACAUUUAGAUGGACAUUUGUUUAAUUAUCCAUUCAAAUCUUAAAUCAAACACCAUCUAAACAAAGUUAAUAAACUUUGGUACUAACUGUUGUCACAUUCUACCUCCUCUCAUUCUAGUUGGCUUCCUUUCCCCACGUCCUACUUUCUCUCCCGUAUACACACGUACAGACAAGUGCAGUAAAAGACUACACAAUAGUGCAAAAGAUGACAGUUUCAUAAUUUCAGUGCUCCAACUAUUUGAUUUACAUGGAAAUAUGCAGCUAUAUAUGUUUAUAUUUGCAUAUAGAUAUAAAUCUAUUCUAUAUAACGAAUAUAUAAAUCUAUUUCUAUAUAUACAUAGUGCAUAGCUAUAUAAAUCUGUAUGUAUUAAUGUAUACAGGCGUGUUUUACUUUCGUAAAAGGUUCUCCUUCACCUGUUGCUCCUCCACGGUAACCAUGGAAACAGAGCCCAGCCAGCCAUCGCCACAAUUGUUUUAUUUCUCUCACCGCACAGAGAAGCCGUAACUCCUGAUGUUCUCCGUGUGUGGGCGUGUGCGUGUGUGUGUGUGAUGUUCAUCACUGUCGUCACGAUGUACAAACAUCUGGAUUUAUGGAGCUAAUAACACUUCACUUACUUACCUUUAGGGUUACUGAUUUAAAUCGUGUGUAGACAUCGACUACUUCAUACACUAAAUGCACCCUUAUAGACGGCAAAUACUUUUAUACCAUAAAUAAACUUAAAUAUCAUGAAUAUACUUAAAUAACACAAACACACAAACUGCAAAAUUAUCUAGAGUUAAAGUUAUUACAAUCAGCUGCUACUAUAUUUGAAUAAUUGAAUUUGGAUCUUUUCACCAUCUGAUGGUGAUCAAGAUGAUCAGAAGAAACACGUUGCAGCAGAGAAAAUAAAAUGAAUAUAUGAUAUACAGUAAUGAAUAUAUGAUAUACAGUAAUAAUAUAUGAUAUACAGUAAUAAUAUAUGAUAUACAGUAAUGAAUGAAUAUAUGAUAUACAGUAAUGAAUAUAUGAUAUACAGUAAUAAUAUAUGAUAUACAGUAAUGAAUAUAUGAUAUACAGUAAUUAAUAUAAUCUAAUGAAUGUAGUAAAUAUAAUACAUAUAUAAUAGAAUACAAAAAGAUAAAUCAAGUGUUCCAGCUGUGAAACACUGUCACCACCUUAUUUCCAUCUGUUCCAACUCUUGAUUGACACGUGUCUUUUCUCUCUGAAUCUGCCUUAAUUCACAACGUCACCCCGCGGCUGCUGCUCCUCCUCCACCCUUUACACCGCCUGUGUGUGUGUGUGAGAGAUUCAUGCACACACACGUCUCUCCAACAUCCUCUCUCUCCCUCAACCCAGUCUGUGCGUGUGUGUGCGUGUGUGUGUGUGUGUGUGUGCGGGUGUGCGUGUGUGCGUGUGUGUGCGUGUGUGUGCGUGUGUGUGUGCGUGUGUGUCUGUGUGUGUGCGGGUGUGCGUGUGUGCGUGUGUGUGCGGGUGUGUGCGUGUGUGCGUGUGUGUGCGGGUGUGUGCG
ensembl:lncRNA